UUUCUCAUUAUGAAGUUCCAUUUUUUAUUUAUAUAUAUUUUUGUAUGCAUGGGCAGUUGGGGCACCAGUAUAUAGGUCAAGUAGGACUGUUAGGACUGUUAGCAGACCCAGUGUUCCAGCAGACAGAUGCAAGCCACAGCAGUGCCGACCGAGGUUCUUUAGGAAGUUUGCCGAAGCCAUCAGUGAACGUCUUGGAUGAUGAAGCGCUCCUGAGUGCCAACCUGAUCAGAUGGCAGUGCCAAUCCACGGGUGCCCUGCUAGCAUGGAUUUUUCCUGUUGGAGAUCCCAAGUGACAGCAUGAGUCCAGCGUACACAGCCAUCGGUUCCUUCAUAGUCCUGACUGAUCCUGUGCCCUGGCGUAAGAAUCAACGAGGAAGGAUCUGAAUCUUUCCCUGCCAAGACAGCCCUGAAGAACUCCUUCAGUGUCAGGGCGGCAAUCUCCAAGAAGCAGUCUGGGACCUGCAGCCCCAAAGACACCCCCCAAGAAAAGGAAGAAAUGAGGCACCAUAGAGAGCCCAUUGGCUGGUGUUGCCCUGCUGCCCUGCUGCCCCGCUGCCCUGGGUUCUGCAGCCCAAGACUACCCUGUUCCCUAGUGAAACACCAUCCAGAGAGCAGUCUUGGGUAUUAGAGCCUUCCAGGACUUGUCGGUUCUACCAGCUGGGUAUGUUUUAAUGAGUGUGGGAAAUGAGAGGGUUGAGCUUUCUUUUCCUUAGACCUCUUGUGAGAAAGGCUGUCCUCAACCUUACGACUGCCAUCGGCCAACCAUUCUGAGAAUGCACAUCUUAGAUCUCAUGGGACCCAGUGCAUGUCUUACCUCAAAGUCAUUCCCCUUGUUAUAGUGUGUAUUGAGAACUCGGAAAAGCUCCGAGUCUCGGAGGACAGCCAGUGCUUGGGCGUUCGUGAUACCGUCUGAAAGUGCUUGCCGGGCAUACUUUUCCAUCUGGAUGUAAUAAAAUUCACGGAAGUUGCUGAACCACUUGAUCAUCUGGGAGGUGAUGCAGCGGUUGAACUGUGUGAACAAAUGGUCCAUCAAGUCAGACAUUUGCUGCGAGGUGCUCGGUGUCAGAACUGUCAGUGCCCACUUCAGUGUGAGAUUGAUGUAAAUUGGCUCAAGCACUAACCAUUUUUCCUUCAGAAAAAGAAAACCACAGGUACUGGCCAAUCCCAUGCAGUUAGACUACAAAAUCCGGUGUUUACUGGAAAAUAAGAUGUUAUGUCUAUAAAA